AUGCCCGCCUGCUUGGGCCUGGCUCCCAGGAUGUGCUUGGCAAAUGCUUCUGGGAUGGAUGGAUGGAUGGAGUGCUGCACGUGGGACUUAGCCUUGGACACUAACUCCUUUGCCCCUCGUAUCUGGGAGGGAACAACACAGUUGCUAUGCCUGACUAGGGCAUGACCUGGGAGGCCUUUGGGGCCACACAGCCUCCUUGGGAAAGGAGGAUCAGGUGGGCCUCACACCCAGGAAUUGGAAGUGGGAGAGACAACAGCUGCUGGGUAGUGGGGGUAGAGCUGUGUCUCUCACUGCCCUGCCCCUCCAAGGACCAAGAAGAAAGGAAUGAGCCCCGAUCCGCCUGCCAGGUACCCACCCAUGAGAACCCCUUCUCUGCCAGCAUCUGAUAAAAUUACCUGCGUAGCUUUAGAGAUCACUGCUGCCUGACCAGCAGCCGCUCUGCUGGAAUCUGUCCAGAAAGCCCCUUGGGGCUCAGAAAAGUAGGUGGGUUAAUAAUAGAAGUAGAUGUGGGUUUUUUUGUUUGUGUGUUUAUUGAGACGGAGUCUUGCUCUGUGGCCCAGGCUGGAGUGCAGUGGCGUGAUCUCGGCUCGCUGCAAUCCCUGCCUCCCAGGUUCAAGCAUGUCUUCUGCCUCAGCCUCCCAAGUAGCUGGGAUAGCAAGUGUGCACCACCACGCCUGAUUUUUGUAUUUUUAGUAGAGAUGGGGUUCCAUCCAUCCAUUCCAGAAGCAUUUGGCAAGCACAUCCUGGGUGCCAGGCCCAAGCAGGCUGGUCUCAAACUCCUGACCUCAAGUGAUCCGCCCACCUCGGCCUCCCAAAGUGCCGGGAUGACAGCUGUGAGCCACCGCGCCCCGCCCAGAAGCAGAGGUGUUUUAACGGGAAGACUUCAGGCUUCAUCGGACGGCCGGGAAGGAAUCAGAGCAGGGGUUUCUUCCGAGAUGGCCAGUGGUCACCUGAGAUGGAGCAGAGAGCACCUGUGGCGGGCAUCUUCUCUAGAAGCCGCCUGUGAGCCCUACGGAGGCCCUGGGCUUCGUGCCGUAAGACAGACGGUGUCCUGCAGCAGCCUGCAGCACUGGGCACACUCACCUGCUGUCCAGGUUUGUAGCCCGGGAGCCUGGGGCCCUGCCGCACAGCCCAGGUGAGUAGCAGGCUGUAUGUGCCACGGCGGUAUGUGUGAGUGCACCCCGUGAUGGGCACACAAAGAGAAUUGCCUAAGGAUGCAUUUCCCGAAACAGGUCCCUGUCAUUCAGUGACACACGUGACUGUGUGUGUGUGUGUGUGUGUGUGCGCACAGAUGGGUGUGUAUGUGUAUGUAUACACACCUGAACACUCACACCUCUACACACGUGCCUGUACACGGAUAGAACACAUAAUUUACAGAAUUUAUGGAACACAUAAUUUAUAUUACAUAAAAUAUAUAGAGAUCAGUUUUGUUUUCUUUUAUUUAUUUAUUUAGACGGAGUCUCACUCUGUCGCCCAGGCUGGAGUGCAGUGGCACAAUCUCGGCUCACUGCAACCUCCACCUACUGGGUUCAAGCCAUCCUCCUGUCUCAGCCUCCCCCCUGUAGCUGGGAUUAUAGGCUCCUGCCACUAUGCCCGGCUAGUGUUUGUAUUUUGUGUAGAGACAGGAUUUCACUCU
rnacentral:lncRNA from 1 species